rnacentral:rRNA from 1 species
UGAGGAAUAUUGGUCAAUGGGCGUGAGCCUGAACCAGCCAAGUUGCGUGCAGGAAGACGGCCCUAUGGGUUGUAAACUGCUUUUAUGCGGGGAUAAAGGAGUCCACGUGUGGAUUUUUGCAGGUACCGCAUGAAUAAGGACCGGCUAAUUCCGUGCCAGCAGCCGCGGUAAUACGGAAGGUCCGGGCGUUAUCCGGAUUUAUUGGGUUUAAAGGGAGCGUAGGCCGCGUUUUAAGCGUGUUGUGAAAUGUAGACGCCCAACGUCUGCAUCGCAGCGCGAACUGGGACGCUUGAGUACGCGCAACGUUGGCGGAAUUCGUCGUGUAGCGGUGAAAUGCUUAGAUAUGACGUGGAACUCCGAUUGCGAAGGCAGCUGACGGGAGCGGCACUGACGCUUAAGCUCGAAGGUGCGGGUAUCAAACAGG